AUUUCCUUUGGCUCAAACUUGGUUCAUAUUGCCUAGUUGAAAUAAAUUAUUGGGAAGAUAUUUGUCAUUUGUCCCAAAGGAAAAUGACAUAUAGACUAUCCAAUAGCAUCAUAUGCAUCAUUAAUGAAACCAACCUUGUAGUAGAUAAUGUUUCCGUUCCCUUCAAAAGCUAGACAUGCCUUUUGUUAAUCCUAUUGGUUAUGAUGAAAUGAUGCGUCGUGACAAUUAUUAUAUGUUUGUAAUCUUAUAACAAAUUGGUUACACUUGUAGUUCUUUUCCUUGAUUGGAAUGAGGUCAAAAUUAGCUAGAAUACUAUAUGUGCACAUGCAAUGAGGGUGCGAAAUUUGCCAACAUGCAAUAAAAAUGACAUGGAAUUUCAUGC
rnacentral:lncRNA from 1 species